rnacentral:tRNA from 1 species
UUGGCGCAUAGCUCAGUUGGAAGAGCAUUGGACUAGUAUGCCAAAGGCCUCGGGUUCGAUUCCCACCAUGGCCAAG